ensembl:lncRNA
AUGCUUCACACCACGGCUGACUGCAGUGAAAGCCACAGUGGUUGGCACUGGGCAGAAACUGGUCACCAUCCAGGAGACAGCCGUCUAGACGAUGCAGGAGCUGGUGAUGCCGCACAGAACACGAAAGUUGAACUUGGAGCACAGCCGUUUCUGUCCCAUCUCCUCGUUGGGACACAGGGAUGGGAUAAAUUCCUUUCACAGAGUGGGAAUGAGGAGCCUUGCAUGUGUCUUGCCUCCAUCACUGUCUGUCUGAGGAAAUAGGUGAGUUAUUUAACUUAGAGCAGUAUUCUUUCGAGUUGUUUUUCUGCAUAGCGUGUCUUUCAUUGCCGUUUUUCAAACAAGGAUAAUUUUUCCUACGAAGUGAUAUCUGUGGUGUUAAGCAGCCUUGUUAACAAGCAAAGAUAAAUCUGAACUACAAAUCUUUGGUAUGCAGGUCACACAAUCGUAUCCGUAGUCACGGCGAAAGAAAAGUGGACAAUGAAGCCAGAAAGAGCAGCUCGGCUUUCUCAACACUAGGUUCGGAAACACAGACUCAGUUCACAUCUUGUCCCCUCUGAUUCCUCCAAUGAGUGCUGAGUUUUUUCAACCAGAAAAUGUUAAAAUAUAUUCGAUAUAUUGAGUAAACUUGAAACCUAAUUUUGAGCCUGAAACAGUAGCUUAUAAUAUUUCUAAAUCAAUAAUUAUGAUUCACAUGUGUUCCCUUGGUGGCUCAGUGGGUGAAGGAUGGUGGUGUCACUGCUGUGGCUCAGGUUGCUGCUGCGGCACGAGUAUAAUUCACUGGCCCCAGGACGUCUGUGCCCACCCCCCACCUCCGAAAUAUGCUUCACAAAAUUUUUCUUAAAUAAUUUGAUGUAUUUCGUGCCACAGAGAAUGCUGUGAACUACUUAGGUGUUGGAUUUCUAUAGUGCUUUGCCUCUAAAACUACUCAGCCAUGUAAUACCGGUUAAAUUAAUGGAGAAAACCCCUAAGAAGAGUGUGAAGGGGUGAGGGGCACUCGAAUUUAGGUUCUUGUGAAAGAAUCGUUGUGAUUAGCAGCACUUUUUUCCUCUACGACAUUCUGCAUGUCCUGAGACAUAAAAUUUAUUUCCCAGAUAUUAUCUUAGAAUGAAACCUAUCCAUUUCCUUUGAAUAUAGCCAGUUAAGGCCACACUCCCUGUGGACAUUCUAUGCAAAGAACUCCUCUUUAAAUUCUAGAAGUCAACUUCAUUGACUGUCUGAGUGUCUUCGCCUCCUGUGCCUUCACGGAAACAUCUGCCCAGGCUUUUGGCUUUCUCUUGAAUUAUAGUUCAAUCAGCAAUUGCUUGUGUAGCAUUUUAUCUUGCUAGGUUUUGUCUCUCACUAAACCAGUUCAUGAAUCCCUUGUUAUGGUUGCCACGGAGAUUACAGGAUGAACUCAUUUGCAUAUGGUUCCAAACCCUUGACAAAUUUAGGAGACCACCUGUAAAAUUUAUCCCCAGGAAUUCCCGUCAUGGUGCAGCAGUUAACAUACCUGAGUAGCAUCCAUGAGGAUGCAGGUUCGAUCACUGGCCUCACUCAGUGGGUUACAGAUCUGGUGUUGCCAUGAGCUGUGAUGUAGGUUGCGGACGCAUCUCGGAUCCCACAUUGCUGUGGCUAUGGGGUAGGCUGGCAGCUGGAGCUCCAAUUCGACCCCUAGCCUGGGAACCUCCAUAUGCUGCAGGUACGGCCCUAAAAAGCAAAAUAAAAUAAAAUAAAAAUUUAUCCCCA